rnacentral:tRNA from 1 species
UGCAUCGGUCGGGAAUCGAACCCAGGCCGCCCGCGUGGCAGGUGAGCAUUCUACCACUGAAAAACAGAUGG